rnacentral:rRNA from 1 species
GGGCCCGCACAAGCGGUGGAGCAUGUGGUUUAAUUCGAUGAUACGCGAGGAACCUUACCAGGGCUUAAAUGGGAAAUGACAGGGGCAGAGACGCCCCCUUCUUCGGACAUUUUUCAAGGUGCUGCAUGGUUGUCGUCAGCUCGUGCCGUGAGGUGUCAGGUUAAGUCCUAUAACGAGCGCAACCCCUACCGUUAGUUGCCAGCGUGUAAUGACGGGGACUCUAACGGAACUGCCGGUGCAAACCGUGAGGAAGGUGGGGACGACGUCAAAUCAUCACGGCCCUUACGUCCUGGCCACACACGUGCUACAAUGGUAGGUACAGAGAGCAGCUACCGGGUGACCGGAUGCGAA